rnacentral:rRNA from 1 species
GAACCUUACCAGCCCUUGACAUGGGACUCGCCGGGAGCAGAGACGCUCCCUUCGGUUCGGCCGGAGUCCGCACAGGUGCUGCAUGGCUGUCGUCAGUUCGUGUCGUGAGAUGUUGGGUUAAGUCCCGCAACGAGCGCAACCCUCGUCUCCAGUUGCCAUCAGGUUAAGCUGGGCACUUUGGAGAAACUGCCGGUGACAAGCCGGAGGAAGGUGGGGAUGACGUCAAGUCCUCAUGGCCCUUACGGGCUGGGCUACACACGUGCUACAAUGGCGGUGACAAUGGGAUGCGAAGGUGCGAGCCGGAGCCGAUCCCAAAAAGCCGUCUCAGUUCGGAUUGCACUCUGCAACUCGAGUGCAUGAAGGUGGAAUCGCUAGUAAUCGCGGAUCAGCAUGCCGCGGUGAAUACGUUCCCGGGCCUUGUCACACCGA